rnacentral:rRNA from 1 species
UACGUAGGGGGCAAGCGUUGUCCGGAAUCAUUGGGCGUAAAGCGCGUGUAGGCGGCCCGGUAAGUCCGCUGUGAAAGUCCAGGGCUCAACCCUGGAAUGCCGGUGGAAACUGUCGGGCUGGAGUCCGGAAGAGGUGAGUGGAAUUCCUGGUGUAGCGGUGAAAUGCGCAGAUAUCAGGAGGAACACCAAUGGCGAAGGCAGCUCGCUGGGACGGUACUGACACUGAGACGCGAAAGCGUGGGGAGCAAACAGG